AUUGAACGCUGGCGGCAGGCCUAACACAUGCAAGUCGAGCGGAUGAAGGGAGCUUGCUCCUGGAUUCAGCGGCGGACGGGUGAGUAAUGCCUAGGAAUCUGCCUGGUAGUGGGGGAUAACGUCCGGAAACGGGCGCUAAUACCGCAUACGUCCUGAGGGAGAAAGUGGGGGAUCUUCGGACCUUACGCUAUCAGAUGAGCCUAGGUCGGAUUAGCUAGUUGGUGGGGUAAAGGCCUACCAAGGCGACGAUCCGUAACUGGUCUGAGAGGAUGAUCAGUCACACUGGAACUGAGACACGGUCCAGACUCCUACGGGAGGCAGCAGUGGGGAAUAUUGGACAAUGGGCGAAAGCCUGAUCCAGCCAUGCCGCGUGUGUGAAGAAGGUCUUCGGAUUGCAAAGCACUUUAAGUUGGGAGGAAGGGCAGUAAGUUAAUACCUUGCUGUUUUGACGUUACCAACAGAAUAAGCACCGGCUAACUUCGUG
rnacentral:rRNA from 1 species